rnacentral:rRNA from 1 species
GGGCCCGCACAAGCGGUGGAGCAUGUGGUUUAAUUCGAUGAUACGCGAGGAACCUUACCAGGGCUUAAAUGUAAGUUGCAUAGAUCAGAGAUGGUCUUUUCUUCGGACUACUUACAAGGUGCUGCAUGGUUGUCGUCAGCUCGUGCCGUGAGGUGUCAGGUUAAGUCCUAUAACGAGCGCAACCCCUGUCGUUAGUUACCAGCAAGUAAUGUUGGGUACUCUAGCGAGACUGCCGGUGCAAACCGUGAGGAAGGUGGGGAUGACGUCAAAUCAUCACGGCCCUUACGUCCUGGGCUACACACGUGCUACAAUGGCCGGUACAGAGAGCAGCCACUACGCGAGUAGGAGCGAAUCUUCAAAGCCGGUCUCAGUUCGGAUCGCAGUCUGCAACUCGACUGCGUGAAGCUGGAAUCGCUAGUAAUCGGAUAUC